rnacentral:lncRNA from 1 species
CACAGGCCCAGACGGCAGCCGACUCUCCCGAGACACAGGGCCGAGAAGAACCGUCGGCAAACGCACCAGACGGGCGGAAAAAAAGGAUGAAGGGAGGAAGAUAUAGCCAGCCAGAGAAGGGAGAAGAGGAGAAACAUCUGGAAAAUAUCAGUGUUGCAGAGCCUCCCGGAAACUGACCUCGCCACCGAAAGGUCAUUUCUCAGCAUCUGUGGGAGAUUGGUUCCAAGACCCUUGAGGAUACCAAAAUCCGAAGAUGCUCAAGUCUCAUAUAAAAUGGUGAAUGGGGUCAAAAUGGAAACAGCAUGAGAGGGGCCACAGAAGGGAUUCACCAGGAAGAAGAGGAAAGGUGGGGCUGAGGUGGCCAGGACAGCACGACAUCACAUCUGACCAAGGCAUCCUCAGCCUUCCUUCAGAAAAGCAGCAGAAGGAAAAAGCUGGUACCAUUCUAAGCUUCAUCAGUGGAGAGUACUGUAGAGACAUUACAGAAAGAAGCAGUUUUCCUUCCUGGUUCCGGUACACUCUUUCUGCAGGCUGCUGCAAACACGCAUGGCUCCUAGAGUAUCCACACCUUCUUCAGCAACUGGCUCCUGCUGAACAUGAUGGUCAGCACCUCCCAGCCUCCAGCAGCUUCCACUGGCAUCCCUCUCGGUUGAUUUUGCAGCAGAAUGCAUCCAGUGAAAGACCUCCACAUGAAUAGCUUUCCUUAGCAUCUUAGAGGGUAGAUUUCUAGCAAGUUCUGCCAGCAUAGCACCCCAGUGACUUCUCUGCCAGCCCAGGAGCCACAGCAGGCCAUGACCUCUCCAGCAAGGUCUGGAGCAGAGAGAAGCAUGUGUUUGGGUGCUCUAUCAGACCCACGGCCCACGGGUAGGGGCUGCUCCUUAUAUCUGCUAUUCCUCUGUUAUUUAAAGUUCUCUUUACUUCCUGUUAGCUAGUCCCCAUUAUAGUGAACUACUUCUCUUUUUCUUAACAGUUUUCUUUUGUAUUUUUUAAAAAUUGUGGCAAAAUACAUAUAGUAUAAAAUUU